rnacentral:rRNA from 1 species
UACGGAGGGUGCAAGCGUUGUCCGGAUUUAUUGGGUUUAAAGGGUGCGUAGGCGGCUUUUUAAGUCAGUGGUGAAAGACAACAGCUCAACUGUUGCAGUGCCAUUGAUACUGAAGAGCUUGAGUACAGAUGAGGUAGGCGGAAUUUAUGGUGUGGCGGUGAAAUGCAUAGAUACCAUAAAGAACACCUAUUGCGAAGGCAGCUUACUAAGCUGUAACUGACGCUGAGGCACGAAAGUGUGGGGAUCAAACAGG